AAGGAUAUGUUUGCUUCCCCUUCUGCCAUGAUUGUAAGCUUCCUGAGGCCUCCCGAGCCAUGCGGAACUGGCUGUAGUGGCACCUGCUAUAUGAGGCUGAGAGGAGAGGCUGCUCAGACGCAGAGAGCCCAGUUGAAAUCUACCCACACUUGCUAUUAAAUCACAAGCCGUCCACACAAAGAACAAAAUCCAACCAAGAGCUACGGGUUUUCCAACCACAAAGGGCCCAGAGUUUCCCUUGUGAAUGAGCUCAGCAUCCUCACGUUUCCAAGAGGAAUCAACACCGCAAUUCCUCGGACCACGGUGGCUCUCUUCCCAGCACACCCUUGCUGUGACCUGCACCCCUGCAUUGUCCUCAAAGACACACUAAGAAAACACAGUUCAGAAGGAAGGACGUAACGGAGCUCAUGAUCCAGUUCUGCAUUUGGCGUGGCCCCAAAGACACUGUGUGCAGAGUCAGAAAUAUGCUCCCCAGUUGGACUCCAUGGGAUACUGUUUCAAAAGAGCUAUCAUUCUUGUCUGUUUACCACAUAUCUUGUUGUAAUAGGCUCUUCUUUUCCAGAAUUUUUAAUUUUCCCUGGCAUUUUGUGUUUUGGUAAUUGCCUACAAGAAUAGUUCUAUAACAUAAAUCAACAAUGAAAACCAAAUUACCCCUGCCCACAUCCUUUCAUUCCUUUUUCAUCUCUAAUGAUAUUUUCUGUAUGAUGACUAACCCAGACUGACGUAAUUUAUCAAUUGAUCUUGACGAUGUACAUUAGAAAAUACAUUCUGCAGGCCCCAGCAGGCCAUCCUCCAUGUGCGCCACGUAGCUUUAGAAAACCUAUUAGUGCAACAGAAAUAUCUAAAGCCCAGCCUUUUUGCUAAGAAUAUUAGAACUGGUGCUAAUUACUUUAUUAAUCAUAAAGUGAAACAGCCGUGCUAUGUCACCACAGCCGUAAAAUAAGUGGUUUUAUGGCAAAAGUAGUUAAAGAGAAAGGACAGAUUGGAUUUAUAAUACUCAGCUGGUUAAAAAAAAGAAAUUAUGCAUACCAGCAAUUUUCUUUCUUUGGUUAAAUGUUCAUUAAAUGUGUACCACUAAAAACCAUUUGUAACUAAUUCCCUAGUGGGUCCAUGCCUUAAAAUAAUUUAUUUUAAAAUACAAAUUAAGGCUUAAAUUUGCCUUUUUAUUAAAAAUAGGUAUAAUGAGUCAACAUAUCUCCUAAGAGAAAGGAGCGUUGCAGACAUGCUGAUGAGAGGAAUCUUGUCGCCAAAACCUGGAGGCCAUGCUGGUGUUGGGGACUUAGGCUAUCCUGCAGGUGCCUGUCACCAUUAAGGGCGGCAGAAUUCAGAGGCUUUGGUCCAGGUUAAAGCACAGAGGCGGCCACUGUCUGAAGACAGGGACACCACAAUGACCAUCAUUGAGGGCAAUGUUUAUGCUUCCAUUGUUAGUUUAGAUAUUUUGUUUUCUUUAAAGUCAGUAUUGUCUCUGAGUAAAUAAAACAAUCUCCAGUUUCUAC
rnacentral:lncRNA from 1 species